UGACACAGGUGCUGCAUGGCUGUCGUCUAGCUCGUGUCGUGAGAUGUUGGGUUAAGUCCGUAACGAGCGCAACCCUUGUCCUUAGUUACCAGCACGUUAUGUGGGCACUCUAAGGAGACUGCCGGUGACAAACCGGAGGAAGGUGGGGAUGACGUCAAGUCAUCAUGGCCCUUACGGCCUGGGCUACACACGUGCUACAAUGGUCGGUACAAAGGGUUGCCAAGCCGCGAGGUGGAGCUAAUCCCAUAAAACCGAUCGUAGUCCGGAUCGCAGUCUGCAACUCGACUGCGUGAAGUCGGAAUCGCUAGUAAUCGUGAAUCAGAAUGUCACGGUGAAUACGUUCCCGGGCCUU
rnacentral:rRNA from 1 species